rnacentral:rRNA from 1 species
UACGUAGGUGGCAAGCGUUGCCCGGAUUUAUUGGGUUUAAAGGGUGCGUAGGCGGUCCUAUAAGUCAGUGCUGAAAUAUCCCGGCUUAACCGGGAGGGUGGCAUUGAUACUGUAGGACUUGAGUAAAGUUGAGGUUGGCGGAAUUGACGGUGUAGCGGUGAAAUGCUUAGAUAUCGUCAAGAACACCUAUUGCGAAGGCAGCUAACUAAGCUUUAACUGACGCUGAGGCACGAAAGUGUGGGGAUCAAACAGG